UACGUAGGUGGCAAGCGUUGUCCGGAUUUACUGGGCGUAAAGAGCGCGCAGGCGGCUGGGCAAGUCCGAUGUGAAAGCUUCCGGCUUAACUGGAAAAUUGCAUCGGAAACUGCUCGGCUUGAAGAUGGGAGAGGGUAGUGGAAUUCCCGGUGUAGUGGUGAAAUGCGUAGAUAUCGGGAGGAACACCAGUGGCGAAGGCGGUUCGCUGGGCCUGGUACUGACGCUGAGGAA
rnacentral:rRNA from 1 species